ensembl:snoRNA
AAUUAUAGAAGUUUUCAAAUGGGUCUGACUCUACCACAUACAUUGUAAGGAGCUAGCAAAAGCUUAAAGACUGAAGUAUCUCUCCUGAGCUUUUUUGUAUGAGAUAUUGGCUCUCACAAUC